AUUGAACGCUGGCGGCAGGCCUAACACAUGCAAGUCGAGCGGAUGAAGGGAGCUUGCUCCUGGAUUCAGCGGCGGACGGGUGAGUAAUGCCUAGGAAUCUGCCUGGUAGUGGGGGAUAACGUCCGGAAACGGGCGCUAAUACCGCAUACGUCCUGAGGGAGAAAGUGGGGGAGCUUCGGACCUCACGCUAUCAGAUGAGCCUAGGUCGGAUUAGCUAGUUGGUGGGGUAAAGGCCUACCAAGGCGACGAUCCGUAACUGGUCUGAGAGGAUGAUCAGUCACACUGGAACUGAGACACGGUCCAGACUCCUACGGGAGGCAGCAGUGGGGAAUGUUGGACAAUGGGCGAAGGCCUGAUCCAGCCAUGCCGCGUGUGUGAAGAAGGUCUUCGGAUUGUAAAGCACUUUAAGUUGGGAGGAAGGGCAGUAAGUUAAUACCUUGCUGUUUUGACGUUACCAACAGAAUAAGCACCGGCUAACUUCGUG
rnacentral:rRNA from 1 species